GUGAUGGAUCUGAAACUGAAGAAGGACGUACCCUCAAGGGAAGACAAAACGGACCUGGGAAGGAGAGGGAAACAACUCAUACAUGAUUGGGGCAAACUGAGUGUGAAAGAUGACAUUUUACUACGGCAGAACAAAAUAGUGGUUCCAGAGAAACUAACCCCAAUAGUGUUGAAAUACUUACACAAUGACAUGGGCCACUGUGGAGCAGAUAAAGUGAUGCAGCUUGCAAGAGAAAGAUUUUACUGGCCUUUCAUGCAGAAAGAGAUAACAGAUUAUGUCACUAAAAGAUGUAGCUGUCUCAAACAGAAGCAUCCAACAGUACCAGACCGGGCACCUAUGGGUGCUAUUAAAACAAGUGCUCCCUUUGAACUUGUCUCAGUAGAUUUCCUUCACCUGGAGAAGAGCAGAGGUGGCUAUGAAUACAUACUGGUAGUCAUGGACCAUUUCACCCGUUUUGCCCAGGCAUAUGCUACUCGCAACAAAGCGGGAAAAACAGCUGCAGAGAAGAUUUUUGACAAUUUCAUCCCUGUAUUUGGAUAUCCUGAAAAAUUACAUCACGAUCAAGGCAAGGAAUUUGAGAACCACCUUUUUAGAAGGUUGAGACAGUUGUCAGGAAUAGCCCAUUCUAGGACUACACCGUACCACCCACAAGGCAACCCAGUUGAGAGACUGAACAGAACACUUUUGCAAAUGCUUCGGACGUUAGAAGAAGAAAAGAAAACUCAGUGGAAAGAGUAUCUCCCGCACAUAGUCCAUGCAUAUAACUGUACCAGGCAUGAGGCAACUGGCUACGCCCCUCACUACCUGCUAUAUGGUAGGACACCUCGUCUACCAAUAGAUCUGAUAUUUGACCUGGAUAAUGGAAGCGGAGCAGCUUCACCUCAAGACUAUGCUGAGAAAUGGGCUUUGAAAAUGAAGGAAGCGUAUAGAAUUGCAUCUGAGACCAGCCAAAAGUCAUCUCAAAAGGGGAAAAAGUACUAUGACAGGCAUGUCAAAGGAGUCGCUCUUCAGUCUGGUGACCGUGUUCUUGUAAGGAAUUUGUCAGAGCGGGGAGGGCCAGGGAAACUCCGCACUUACUGGGAAAAAGAUGUAUACAGGGUGGUUGAACAGAUAGGGCCAGAACAUAUUUAUAAAGUUGAAUCAGAAAAAGGCAAUAAACCAACAAGAGUGAUUCAUCGCAAUUUGUUGCUUCCUGUCAGAGAUUUACCUCUGGAAAACACACCAAGAAAAACAGGGAAGAGGAUUCACACCAGACCAGUAGCUAGACCUGAAGUUAACAGCAAUGCAGAAAGCACAGACUCAGAUUCUUCAGAUGAAGGGUAUUACUACUGUCCUGAACUGUUUCAAUACAGUGAGCAAGGUAUCACUCCUCAACUACGAGCUGAGGCUGAAGAAUUUCAUCCUAGGGAUCUCAAUGCCUCACAACAACAGCGGGAAAAUCACAGUAUGCGUGAGGAAAAUGUUCAAGACCUGCCUGUAGAACUUGCAGAAGAACAACUGAAAAGCCAUCGCUCAUUAGAUGAGGAAGUCCAAGACUUGCCCAUAGACUUUACAGAAGGGUCUGUAGCACCAUCCUCACAACAAGUAGAUUCAUGGUGUGACAAGGAUGCAGUUAUACCAAAUGAUCCUGAAGAACAGAGACAUGACAGUCCUCCACGACAAUCAGACUAUUCUCAGAGAACAAGAAUACCGAAGAAGAUAUUCACAUAUGAGACCCUGGGAAAACCAUCUUUCCAAAAAUGGAAUGUUCAUGCAGAUGUGAUCGAACAGCACUGUGAUUUCCCAGAGGUAGAGGGGCCCAUCUAUAUACCCUCAUGUUCAUACUUUUUGCCAGCAACAUAUGCCGAUUGCGAUGAUCUGAACUAUGGUUGCUUCCAUGCAUAAAUGUCAGGAGACACUUAUUAAAAAAACAGGGGGAGUGUGUGACAGGGUUAAAUUCAGACUUCCCAACAGCACAAAAACAUAAGGCUGUCACUAGAGGGAGCUCUAACAUGAUUACACUGGUUGAGGAGAGUUAGGGCCUGGUGCUCAUAUUAAAGUUGGACAUCAACUGAGCCACAUGUCGUGUCUCUCCUCUGUUAAAACAGGUUGAACUAAACUCCCAGAAAAUGAGAAAAAAGAAAAAACUAUUGGAAAAAUGAAUGCGAUUGAGCAGUGAUACAGGCUGCCACUCUGGCAUGGUAACAACAAUACAGAUGCUGAAUAU